CGGGGCGUAGCGCAGCGGUAGCGCGCUUGGUUUGGGACCAAGAGGCCGUGAGUUCAAACCUCACCGCCCCGACCA
rnacentral:tRNA from 1 species